UCUACGAGUAACGGGUAUAAAAAAUCUAAGAGUAACGGGUAUAAAAAUGCCAAGAAAUUUUCGGCUCUGACGUAAUAAUAUGAAAGUGAAUUAUGUGUGAGGCGGUUGAAUAAGAAGCGAGUUAUAUGAUUAUUUGUACGUGAUUUCUCUUGUACCUAAUAUUUGUUUGAUUAGGCUAAAACUAAAUUAAGAUGGAAUAGGGCGGAAGAGAGAGAUAUAGUUUAUAGAUAUAAGUUUAUACAAUACGUUUUUUUUAGCUCUAUUUACCAUUAAACCAUUAUGCAGCCAACUAACACAUUCGGGAAACUUCCCAAGUCGAAAAGAGACUUCCAGCAACUCUGACGAAAUUAAUAACGUAACCAUAAUAUGAACUCGUGAUCAAUGUUCGUGUGACUUGAUUAAAUCACAAUUUUUCCCACUUCAUGCGCCCCAUAAUAUGCGAAUAUAAACAAUCAUAUCGCCAUGGUUAUCUGAAAAAAAGUACUUUGGUACAGUUUUUGGUAUGUCACCGUUCGUUUUUGCAACUGAUAAAAUCCCAGCAGUUCUGAAGAAUAAUUGCACUGACGUCAGAUUAAGAUAAGAAAGACCAAAAGUUAAGGUGACGAAACAGAAAAUUAAAUUUUUAACCAUUUUUUAAAAGCGAUGACAGACGCUCACUUUAGGUAGAUUUGUGUUCCCUAUAUGCAAGGAGUCGAUAGUAUUUUGUGCGAUGGCACGUGCCUGAUCGGACAGAAACAAAACCAGCAACGAAAACAAACAAAAUUAAACAUUAAAUAAAUAACAAAACCAACGAUGAAGAACAAAAAAAGCAAUGCUAAACUAAUAACGCUUUUGUUUACCCGUCACAGCAGCCACAAAAUCAUUUAAAUGAUUUUUCAUAUAUUUUAGCUGAGAUCCAGGCAAAAAUUUAUAAUGUGACAAGAGGAUGACGAGUACUGGGCACUCGUCACAAAUUGGCCAAGACCGGUGGCAAUAAACUUACAUUACAAUUGUGCCUCUCAGUGCUUUAAAAAAGUGCACAAUUACUUUACAGCAGUUAACACAACUCACUAGACUCUGACGACUUUUAAAAAGCUGGACUUUAAGCUGAUCUCGUAUAAAUUUAUUUAUUCCUACUUUUUGGAAAUGGCAUGAUAUCAGAAACUUUUGUAAAUCAGAUCACUGACCAAACAAAUUUUCUCGAAUAUAAACUAGUUCAACUUUUGACCAACUCUGGUGAAAUUUAUGAUGAUUGCUAAAUAAAAUUUACGAAGCCGCGCCAAAUUGGCAAAAUCGUGGAUGGGAUAAUCAUCACCGACUGCCCGUUCCCUGCACACAACUCCAUCCAGACAAAUGUAGACAAAGUCAGCAAAUAAAUCAAACAACCUGCACACGCGCUACAGAAAAAAAUAAAAACGAAACAUCGCUGUUGGGUAAGCAGAAUACGAUACCUUGUAUGCCCAAAAGGGGGCGACGGCCUCCGAACUAGAUAUUGCAUUGUAUUGUAUUGUAUUGGAAUGGUAUUCGCGUAUGGUAUCGCCAGACUGGGACAGCGCACAGUAGUCAAGGGAAAUCAGAGUAGUAGACGAAAGGGAGCAGCGUUCUGUAUGCAGUCUAAAAAUGGAACGAAACGCUUUUUUAAACGCCCACCGCUGGCAAAACUCAUCGGCAUCAGCGCCAAAGAUGCCUUCAUCCAGUAACGAACGGAUCAUCUCGGAUUGCCCAUGGCCGGCCCAUUAAUUCGCUUGAUGUCUUGCAUAUGGCAGCAAAGUUUUGCGCGUGCGGUCAAACAAAAGCAGAGCAGCACGUGGAAGGAAAUCAGCACUCACAGAAAAAUUUUAUAAAUACAUAUACGAUAAAGAAUUCAAACAAAAUUAUUUUUAAAUUUGGACACUGACUUUCUUAAUAUCGCGGUAUGAAAUGGAUUUUGUUUGAUAACAUUAUUGGUUGGGUAUUUAAACGAAGACCUAGUAAUCCAAAUUUCCAGGUUUUGAGGUGGCAUUCCAAAAUGGGCGUGCAUUUUUCGGUGUGUGCAUCUAUAUGUCCACGACUGUUUAUGUCCGCUCAUCCGCUUAUGUUCACAUCCGACAUCAAAACAGAUGGCCAGACUUUGUAGCCCACGGUAGUGGGUGGGGGCCAAAUGAAAGUAUUGGUUGUUAGGUGGUGCAUAUACAAACGGUUAUUAUACUUGGGCGUCGGCGUUUGACGCUUUCUAUUGAUCAGCAAGCGUCAUUCGAAAUUGGAUAUGGGAACACACUGAUGGCUUCUAGGGAACACUUUGAAAGGAAGUCUGGCCGUGCGUACAACGUGACGUAUGAGUAAUGUUUAGAGAGCCUUAAAUAAAGCACCCACGAGGCGUACUAGUGAUUUCGUCUCACGAUUGGGUACUUAUGAAAAAUAUAAAUAUAGCUGAUUUUGUUUUUCACUUUUCACUUUCACAUUUUUAUAACUCGGUACUUUAUUUUUAGGUUGACACGUGUAGGAAGAAGCCUUGGAUAAUAUAAAAAAAAAAAAAAUUUGGUUUUAGAACCAUUAUUACUAAUUAUUUUUCCAUAAAAUAAAAAAAAAUGAAGCUGGCAUUUUACUACAAUGAUAAAAGGAAAAACAAAAUACUUGUAAAACAAAAGAAGAUCAUCGUUUAGAUAGGUAAAAACAAUUAAAAGGUUUCCUAAGCAGCAAAAGGGGCCACAAUUGACAACCCCGAAAUCAAAAUACAUUUUUAACUGUAAUAGCAAAAAAUGCUGAUAUCUUCUGUUGCAUUCGAAUGUUUGACUAAGCGCAAACCAAAAUGCAAUAAUACACCGCACACACGCUGAAUACAGAGCGCAAUACUACACAGUCAUUGAAAACUCAUGAGCAAAAGGCCAGUGAGCGGGCAGAAAAUAUUUAUGAAAAUAUAACAAGCGCCAGGCAGCCCAACUCGACUAAAUUCUCUGAAGUGGAUUUUCCCAUUUCGCGAUUGCGUCGAAAGCCUUCAAAAGUCGUUCACGUGCGAUCAAGUGAUCGUUCCAUGUGCCAGUCACCGGAUGACAAAACACAGACCACCUCCUCCGCACCACGACAAAUCGCCGAUAUCGGUGGAACCGGCGGUGCCACUCACUGAAAUCGAGAAAGCCCAAUGAGUUCAAUAAAUAAUACGGCCAGACUUUGAUCUAAUUUUUCUCUUCCCAGAAGUGAUAAAAAAUUUGCAAUCACCAGUUUUCUAGCUAAAAGCUUUGAAACAAAGCCAUGGCAUACAAAAAAAUAAAAUAUAUUAUUUAUUAUGAUUUUAUAAAAUAUUUAGUCUCUUACAAAAUUUCAAAAUAAACAAUAUACCAAUAAAUCGGGGCACAAACUGGAAAACGUAA